UUCGGUCGGUUACGAAUCAGCCUGAUUUCCUGAAAUCCCAAGCAUAGUACCUCAAGUCCAAUGGCUGCUCCUCCCUUAAUUAGACUUUCUUACUGAUCCAGUUGCCUGCAUCCCUGGUUAUUUUCUGUUCAAUAAGGGUUGUAGCUUUUAUGCUCUCCAGUUUGUGCGCAUGUGGAACACUUUUGAGAAACUGUUGUGCUUGUACAUAUGCUGAUACUAUCGUUCUCAUGAAUAAACGAUGCUUUUUACUUU
rnacentral:lncRNA from 7 species